rnacentral:rRNA from 1 species
UUGAACGCUGGCGGCAUGCCUUACACAUGCAAGUCGAACGGUAGAGGGGCAACCCUUGAGAGUGGCGAACGGGUGAGUAAUAUAUCGGAACGUGCCCAGUCGUGGGGAUAACGCAGCGAAAGCUGCGCUAAUACCGCAUACGAUCUAUGGAUGAAAGCGGGGGAUCGCAAGACCUCGCGCGAUUGGAGCGGCCGAUAUCAGAUUAGGUAGUUGGUGGGGUAAAAGGCCCACCAAGCCGACGAUCUGUAGCUG